AAUAUAAUAAUCACCAUGCUCAUUUACCAUAACUAAAAUCUCAUAAUCCAUCUAAUAUUUGGACUAUCUUCUCACAUCACAAUCACCUAACUAAAUCCACCUAGAAUCAAAUAAAUCACCGAGAAAUUUGGUUCAGUGUCACAAUCACCGAACUAAAUCCAAAUUGUUCCCGUCGACUACGAGGCGCCUAGGGCGACUUCGUAAAAUCUCAAGAUGAUAUGCCGGCCCAAUCUCUCGAAGGUGCUCAUAGGGUAGGGUGCACGUGUUUGCGUUCAUAGGGAUGAAUGUAUGUGCGUUUAUAUGAGCGCUUGCGUCUGUACUGUGUUAAAAAAGAUUAGUUAAUCAACCGAACAUCUUGGACUAUCUCUUCAAGGUCUCAAUCAACUAAUUAAAUCCUUUUAAAAUCUCGUAAUUUGCCAUGAAAUUUAGUUCAAAAUCACAAUCGCCUAACUAAAUCCAAAUUACUCAAAGUUUACCAAAAAUCCAUUUAUCCACUAAUAUAAUAACCACCAUGCUCACUUACUAGACAUAAAUUCUCACAUAAUACAUCAAACAUCUUUGACUAUCGCGUCAGGAUCACAAUCACCUAACUAAAACUAACCCAAACAUCAAAAUCCACCAUGAAUUUGCUUAAAAGGUCACAAUCAUCUAACUAUAUUCAAAUUGUUUCAAACUAAAUUAAAGGUUUGUUUAUCCACCAAUAUAAUAGUCACCAUGCUCACAUACUAGACCUAAAAUCAUACGGGAACAAAUAUUAGAUAGUCCAAAUAUUAGAUGUGAGAAGAUACUCCAAGUUUACCAAAAAUCCAUUUAUCCACUAAUAUAAUAACCACCAUGCUCACUUACUAGACAUAAAUUCUCACAUAAUACAUCAAACAUCUUUGACUAUCGCGUCAGGAUCACAAUCACCUAACUAAAACUAACCCAAACAUCAAAAUCCACCAUGAAUUUGCUUAAAAGGUCACAAUCAUCUAACUAUAUUCAAAUUGUUUCAAACUAAAUUAAAGGUCUAUUUAUCCACCAAUAUAAUAGUCACCAUGCUCACAUACUAGACCUAAAAUCAUACGGGAACAAUUUGGAUUUAGUUCGGUGAUUGUGACACUGAACCAAAUUUCUCGGUGAUUUAUUUGAUUCUAGGUGGAUUUAGUUAGGUGAUUGUGAUGUGAGAAGAUAGUCCAAAUAUUAGAUGGAUUAUGAGAUUUUAGUUAUGGUAAAUGAGCAUGGUGAUUAUUAUAUUGGUAGAUAAACAAAUAUUUAAUUUAGUUUGGAUCAAUUUGGAUUUAGGUAGGUGAUUGCGAUCUUUUAACCAAAUUUUAUGGUGGAUUAUGAGGCUUUGGUUGGAUUUGGUUAGGUGAUUGGGAUCUUGAUGAGCUAGUAAAAGAUGUUCCGUAGAUUAUAUGAAUUUACGUCUAGUAGGUGAGCAUGUUGGUUAUUACAGUGGUGGAUAAAUGGAUUUUUAGUAAACUUGAAAAUUUUGGAUUUAGUUAGAUGAUUAUGAUCUUGAGCCAAAUUUUAUGGUGGAUUAUGAGAUUUUUGAUGGAUUAGAUAGUUGAUUGUGAUCUUGAGGAGAUAGUCAAAGAUAUUCGGUGUAUUAAUUAAUCUUAAACAAUUUGGAUUUAGUUAGGUGAUUGUGAUAUUGAACUAGAUUUCCCAGUGAUUUAUGAGAUUUUAGUUGGAUUUAGUUAGGUGAUUGUGAUAUUGAACUAGAUUUCCCAGUGAUUUAUGAGAUUUUAGUUGGAUUUAGUUAGGUGAUUGUGUCUUUAGAAAAUAAUCAAAGAUGUUUGGUGGCUUAUGAGAUUUUAGGUCUAAUAACUGAGCAUGGUGAUUAUUAUAUUGGUGGAUAAACAAAUAUUUAAUUUAGUUUGAAACAAUUUGGAUUUAGCUCGGAGAUUGUGAUCUUUUAACCUAAUUUUACAGUGGAUUAUAAGGUUUUGGUUGGAUUUAGUUAGGUGACUGUGAUUUUGACAAGCCAGUAAAAGAUGUCCGGUGGAUUAUGUGAAUUUAGGUCUAGUAGAUGAGCAUGUUGAUUAUUAUAUUGGUGGAUAGAGAUGAGUGCCACACAAGUGACUCAAGGCGAUGAUGCUACUACGGAAAAUAACUGGUAAACAAGGCAACAAAGGAGAGAAUGGGGGUAGUGGCAGUAGAUGGACUUUGAUCCAGCAUCCCACGUGCUUGUGCACUCUCCGUUCCCCGCUGUUCGGCUUGGUGUUCUUGUCCUGUUUGCGGAUUUUGUGUCACACACUUGAUUAAGCAUCCCACGUUCCCCUAAUGUGCGCCCUUGGCCUUGACGAUAGGUAGCGCCGUGUUCUCGGGCGUGUCCCGUGGGUAAAAUUUAGGUAUGUGUCGAUUGUCCGAGCUCUUGCUCGCCAUUGGUGAUGCUUGAGCGUGCGGUCUUGAUGUCGCCCAGCAAGGGAACACGGGAUGUGGGAUCAAGACAGCACAUAUAGCAACCCGUCACCAGGCAACGGACGCCCGUUCGGACUUUCAGGAAGCAAAGGUGGACACAAAGGUGGAUGUUGAGCUCCAUAGCCGUCUCGACAAUGUGCUCAUCAGUAAGAGCAACACGAGCAAGAAGAUCCUGGAUGUACUCCUAUUAGGAAAUAAAGAAGCCAUUAGAGGUAGAAGAAACCUCAAUCUCAAGGAAGUCACGACUUCUGUAGUAAACGUGGAGCAAUUUGGAUUUAGUUAGGCGAUUGUGAUUUUGAACCAAAUUUCAUGGCAAAUUACGAGAUUUUAAAAGGAUUUAAUUAGUUGAUUGAGACCUUGAAGAGAUAGUCCAAGAUGUUCGGUUGAUUAAUUAAUCUUUUUUAACACAGUACAGACGCAAGCGCUCAUAUAAACGCACAUACAUUCUUCCCUAUGAACGCAAACACGCGCACCCUACCCUAUGAGCACCUUCGAGAGAUUGAGCCGGCAUAUCAUCUUGAGAUUUUACGAAGUCACCGUAGGCGCCUCGUAGUCGACGGAAACAAUUUGGAUUUAGUUCAGUGAUUGUGAUACUGAACCAAAUUUCUUGGUGAUUUAUUUGAUUCUAGGUGGAUUUAGUUAGGUGAUUGUGUUUUGAGAAGAUAGUCAAAAUAUUCGAUGGAUUAUGAGAUUUUAGUUAUGGUAAAUGAGCAUGGUGAUUAUUAUAUUGGUAGAUAAACAAAUAUUUAAUUUAGUUUGGAUCAAUUUGGAUUUAGAUAGGUGAUUGCGAUCUUUUAACCAAAUUUUAUGGUGGAUUAUGAGGCUUUUGUUGGAUUUAGUUAGGUGAUUGGGAUCUUGAUGAGCUAGUAAAAGAUGUUCCGUAGAUUAUAUGAAUUUACGUCUAGUAGGUGAGCAUGUUGUUUAUUAUAUUGGUGGAUAAAUGGAUUUUUAGUAAACUUGCAAAAAUUUGGAUUUAGUUAGAUGAUUGUGAUCGUGAGCCAAAUUUUAUGGUGGAUUAUGAGAUUUUUGAUGGAUUAGUUAGUCGAUUGUGAUCUUGAGGAGAUAGUCAAAGAUAUUCUGUGUAUUAAUUAAUCUUAAACAAUUUGGAUUUUGUUAGGUGAUUGUGAUAUUGAACUAGAUUUCUCAGUGAUUUAUGAGAUUUUAGUUGGAUUUAGUUAGGCGAUUGUGUCUUUAGAAAAUAAUCAAAUAUGUUUUGUGGAUCAUGAGAUUUUAGGUCUAGUAGAUGAGCAUGGUGAUUAUUAUAUUGGUGGAUAAACAGAUAUUUAAUUUAGUUUGAAACAAUUUGGAUUUGGUUCGGUGAUUAUGAUCUUUUAACCUAAUUUUACGAUGGAUAAUAAGGUUUUGGUUGGUUUAGUUAGGUGAUUUUUAUUUUGACAAACCAGUAAAGAUGUUCGGUGGAUUAUGUGAAUUUAGGUCUAGUAGGUGAGCAUGUUGAUUAUUAUAUUGGUGGAUAGAGAUGAGUGCCACACAAGUGAGUCAAGGCGAUGAUGCUACUACUGAAAAUAACUGGUAAACAAGGCAACAGAGGAGAGAAUGGGGGUAGUGGCAGCAGAUGGACUUUGAUCCAGCAUCCCACGUGCUUGUGCACUCUCCGUUCCCCGCUGUUCGGCUUGGUGUUCUUGUCAUGUUGGCGGAUUUUGUGUCACGCACUUGAUUAAGCAUCCCACGUUCCCCUAAUGUGCGCCCUUGGCCUUGACAAUAGGUAGCGCCGUGUUCUCGGGCGCGUCCCGUGGGUAAAAUUCAGGUAUGCGUCGAUUGCCCGAGCUCUUGCUCGCCAUUGGUGGUGCUUGAGCGUGCGGUCUUGGUGUCGCCCAGCAAGGGAACACGGGAUGUGGGAUCAAGACAGCACACAUAGCAACCCGUCACCAGGCAACGGACGCCCGUUCAGACUUCCAGGGAGUAGAGGUGGACACAAAGGUGGAUGUUGAGCUCCGUAGCCGUCUCGACAGUGUGCUCAUCAGUAAGAGCAACACGAGCAAGAAGAUCCCGGAUAUACUCUUAGGAAAUAAAGAAGCCAUUAGAGGUAGAAGAAACCUCAAUCUCAAGGAAGUCACGACUUCUUUAGUAAACAUGGAGCAAUUUGGAUUUAGUUAGGCGAUUGUGAUCUUGAACAAAUUUCAUGGUGGAUUACAAGAUUUUUCAAUGGAUUUAAUUGAUUGUGAUCUUGAGGAGAUAGUCAAAGAUGUCCGGUGUAUAUCUUGAACAAUUUGGAUUUAGUUAGGUGAUUGUGAUAUUGAACUAGAUUUCUCAGUGAUUUAUGAGAUUUUAGUUGGAUUUAGUUAGGUGAUUGUGUCUUUAGAAAAUAAUCAAAGAUGUUUUGUGGAUCAUGAGAUUUUAGGUCUAGUAGAUGAGCAUGGUGAUUAUUAUAUUGGUGGAUAAACAGAUAUUUAAUUUAUUUUGAAACAAUUUGGAUUUGGUUCGGUGAUUAUGAUCUUUUAACCUAAUUUUACGAUGGAUUAUAAGGUUUUGGUUGGUUUAGUUAGGUGAUUUUUAUUUUGACAAGCCUGUAAAAGAUGUUCGGUGGAUUAUGUGAAUUUAGGUCUAGUAGGUGAGCAUGUUGAUUAUUAUAUUGGUGGAUAGAGAUGAAUGCCACACAAGUGACUCAAGGCGAUGAUGCUACUACUGAAAAUAACUGGUAAACAAGGCAACAGAGGAGAGAAUGGGGGUAGUGGCAGCAGAUGGACUUUGAUCCAGCAUCCCACGUGCUUGUGCACUCUCCGUUCCCCGCUGUUCGGCUUGGUGUUCUUGUCAUGUUGGCGGAUUUUGUGUCACGCACUUGAUUAAGCAUCCCACGUUCCCCUAAUGUGCGCCCUUGGCCUUGACGAUAGGUAGCGCCGUGUUCUCGGGCGCGUCCCGUGGGUAAAAUUCAGGUAUGCGUCGAUUGUCCGAGCUCUUGCUCGCCAUUGGUGGUGCUUGAGCAUGCGGUCUUGGUGUCGCCCAGCAAGGGAACAGGGGAUGUGGGAUCAAGACAGCACACAUAGCAACCUGUCACCAGGCAACGGGCGCCCGUUCGGACUUCCAGGGUGCAGAGGUGGACACAAAGGUGGAUGUUGAGCUCCAUAGCCGUCUCGACAGUGUGCUCAUCAGUAAGAGCAACACGAGCAAGAAGAUCCUGGAUAUACUCCUCUUAGGAAAUAAAGAAGCCAUUAGAGGUAGAAGAAACCUCAAUCUCAAGGAAGUCACGACUUCUUAAGUAAACAUGGAGCAAUUAGGAUUUAGUUAGGCGAUUGUGAUCUUUAACAAAUUUCACGGUGGAUUACAAGAUUUUUCAAUGGAUUUAAUUGAUUGUGAUCUUGAGGAGAUAGUCAAAGAUGUCCAGUGUAUAUCUUGAACAAUAUGGAUUUAGUUAGAUGAUUGUGAUAUUGAACUAGAUUUCUCAGUGAUUUAUGAGAUUUUAGUUGGAUUGAGUUAGGUUAUUAUGUCUUGAGACGAUAAUCAAAUAUGUUUUGUGGAUCAUGAGAUUUUAGGUCUAGUAGAUGAGCAUGGUGAUUAUUAUAUUGGUGGAUAAACAGAUAUUUAAUUUAGUUUGAAACAAUUUGGAUCUUUUAACCUAAUUUUACGAUGGAUUAUAAGGUUUUGGUUGGUUUAGUUAGGUGAUUUUUAUUUUGACAAGCCAGUAAAAGAUGUUCGGUGGAUUAUGUGAAUUUAGGUCUAGUAGGUGAGCAUGUUGAUUAUUAUAUUGGUGGAUAGAGAUGAAUGCCACACAAGUGACUCAAGGCGAUGAUGCUACUACUGAAAAUAACUGGUAAACAAGGCAACAGAGGAGAGAAUGGGGGUAGUGGCAGCAGAUGGACUUUGAUCCAUCAUCCCACGUGCUUGUGCACUCUCCGUUCCCCGCUGUUCGGCUUGGUGUUCUUGUCAUGUUGGCGGAUUUUGUGUCACGCACUUGAUUAAGCAUCCCACGUUCCCCUAAUGUGCGCCCUUGGCCUUGACGAUAGGUAGCCCCGCGUUCUCGGGCGCGUCCCGUGGGUAAAAUUCAGGUAUGCGUCGAUUGUCCGAGCUCUUGCUCGCCAUUGGUGGUGCUUGAGCAUGCGGUCUUGGUGUCGCCCAGCAAGGGAACACGGGAUGUGGGAUCAAGAUAGCACACAUAGCAACCUGUCACCAGGCAACGGACGCCCGUUCGGACUUCCAGGGAGCAGAGGUGGACACAAAGGUGGAUGUUGAGCUCCAUUGCCGUCUCGACAGUGUGCUCAUCAGUAAGAGCAACACAAGCAAGAAGAUCCUGGAUAUACUCCUCUUAGGAAAUAAAGAAGCCAUUAGAGGUAGAAGAAACCUCAAUCUCAAGGAAGUCACGACUUCUUUAGUAAACAUGGAGCAAUUUGGAUUUAGUUAGGCGAUUGUGAUCCUUAACAAAUUUUGUGGUGGAUUACAAGAUUUUUCAAUGGAUUUAAUUGAUUGUGAUCUUGAAGAGAUAGUCAAAGAUGUCAAGUGUAUAUCUUGAACAAUAUGGAUUUAGUUAUAUGAUUGUGAUAUUGAACUAGAUUUCUCAGUGAUUUAUGAGAUUUUAGUUGGAUUGAGUUAGGUUAUUAUGUCUUGAGACGAUAAUCAAAGAUGUUUUGUGGAUCAUGAGAUUUUAGGUCUAGUAGAUGAGCAUGGUGAUUAUUAUAUUGGUGGAUAAACAGAUAUUUAAUUUAGUUUGAAACAAUUUGGAUUUGGUUCGGUGAUUAUGAUCUUUUAACCUAAUUUUAUGAUGGAUUAUAAGGUUUUGGUUGGUUUAGUUAGGUGAUUUUUAUUUUGACAAGCCUGUAAAAGAUGUUCGGUGGAUUAUGUGAAUUUAGGUCUAGUAGGUGAGCAUGUUGAUUAUUAUAUUGGUGGAUAGAGAUGAAUGCCACACAAGUGACUCAAGGCGAUGAUGCUACUACUGAAAAUAACUGGUAAACAAGGCAACAGAGGAGAGAAUGGGGGUAGUGGCAGCAGAUGGACUUUGAUCCAGCAUCCCACGUGCUUGUGCACUCUCCGUUCCCCGCUGUUCGGCUUGGUGUUCUUGUCAUGUUGGCGGAUUUUGUGUCACGCACUUGAUUAAGCAUCCCACGUUCCCCUAAUGUGCGCCCUUGGCCUUGACGAUAGGUAGCGCCGCGUUCUCGGGCGCGUCCCGUGGGUAAAAUUCAGGUAUGCGUCGAUUGUCCGAGCUCUUGCUCGCCAUUGGUGGUGCUUGAGCAUGCGGUCUUGGUGUCGCCCAGCAAGGGAACACGGGAUGUGGGAUCAAGAUAGCACACAUAGCAACCUGUCACCAGGCAACGGACGCCCGUUCGGAUUUCCAGGGAGCAGAGGUGGACACAAAGGUGGAUGUUGAGCUCCAUAGCCGUCUCGACAGUGUGCUCAUCAGUAAGAGCAACACAAGCAAGAAGAUCCUGGAUAUACUCCUCUUAGGAAAUAAAGAAGCCAUUAGAGGUAGAAGAAACCUCAAUCUCAAGGAAGUCACGACUUCUUUAGUAAACAUGGAGCAAUUUGGAUUUAGUUAGGCGAUUGUGAUCUUCAACAAAUUUCACGGUGGAUUACAAGAUUUUUCAAUGGAUUUAAUUGAUUGUGAUCUUGAGGAGAUAGUCAAAGAUGUCAAGUGUAUAUCUUGAACAAUAUGGAUUUAGUUAGAUGAUUGUGAUAUUGAACCAAAUUUCUUUGUAAUUUAUGAGAUUUUAGUUGGAUUGAGUUAGGUGAUUGUGUCUUGAGACGACAAUCAAAUAUGUUUUGUGGAUCAUGAGAUUUUAGGUCUAGUAGAUGAGCAUGGUGAUUAUUAUAUUGGUGGAUAAACAGAUAUUUAAUUUAGUUUGAAACAAUUUGGAUUUGGUUCGGUGAUUAUGAUCUUUUAACCUAAUUUUACGAUGGAUUAUAAGGUUUUGGUUGGUUUAGUUAGGUGAUUUUUAUUUUGACAAGCCUGUAAAAGAUGUUCGGUGGAUUAUGUGAAUUUAGGUCUAGUAGGUGAGCAUGUUGAUUAUUAUAUUGGUGGAUAGAGAUGAAUGCCACACAAGUGACUCAAGGCGAUGAUGCGACUACUGAAAAUAACUGGUAAACAAGGCAACAGAGGAGAGAAUGGGGGUAGUGGCAGCAGAUGGACUUUGAUCCAGCAUCCCACGUGCUUGUGCACUCUCCGUUCCCCGCUGUUCGGCUUGGUGUUCUUGUCAUGUUGGCGGAUUUUGUGUCACACACUUGAUUAAGCAUCCCACGUUCCCCUAAUGUGCGCCCUUGGCCUUGACGAUAGGUAGCGCCGCGUUCUCGGGCGCGUCCCGUGGGUAAAAUUCAGGUAUGCGUCGAUUGUCCGAGCUCUUGCUCGCCAUUGGUGGUGCUUGAGCAUGCGGUCUUGGUGUCGCCCAGCAAGGGAACACGGGAUGUGGGAUCAAGAUAGCACACAUAGCAACCUGUCACCAGGCAACGGACGCCCGUUCGGACUUCCAGGGAGCAGAGGUGGACACAAAGGUGGAUGUUGAGCUCCAUAGCCGUCUCGACAGUGUGCUCAUCAGUAAGAGCAACACAAGCAAGAAGAUCCUGGAUAUACUCCUCUUAGGAAAUAAAGAAGCCAUUAGAGGUAGAAGAAACCUCAAUCUCAAGGAAGUCACGACUUCUUUAGUAAACAUGGAGCAAUUUGGAUUUAGUUAGGCGAUUGUGAUCUUCAACAAAUUUCAUGGUGGAUUACAAGAUUUUUCAAUGGAUUUAAUUGAUUGUGAUCUUGAGGAGAUAGUCAAAGAUGUCAAGUGUAUAUCUUGAACAAUAUGGAUUUAGUUAGAUGAUUGUGAUAUUGAACCAAAUUUCUUUGUAAUUUAUGAGAUUUUAGUUGGAUUGAGUUAGGUGAUUGUGUCUUGAGACGACAAUCAAAUAUGUUUUGUGGAUCAUGAGAUUUUAGGUCUAGUAGUUGAGCACGGUGAUUAUUAUAUUGGUGGAUAAACAGAUAUUUAAUUUAGUUUGAAACAAUUUGGAUUUGGUUCGGUGAUUAUGAUCUUUUAACCUAAUUUUACGAUGGAUUAUAAGGUUUUGGUUGGUUUAGUUAGGUGAUUUUUAUUUUGACAAGCCAGUAAAAGAUGUUCGGUGGAUUAUGUGAAUUUAGGUCUAGUAGGUGAGCAUGUUGAUUAUUAUAUUGGUGGAUAGAGAUGAGUGCCACACAAGUGACUCAAGGCGAUGAUGCUACUACUGAAAAUAACUGGUAAACAAGGCAACAGAGGAGAGAAUGGGGGUAGUGGCAGCAGAUGGACUUUGAUCCAGCAUCCCACGUGCCUGUGCACUCUUCGUUCCCUGCGGUCCAGCCUGGUGUUCUUGUCCUGUUUGCGGAUUUUGUGUCACGCACUUGAUUAAGCAUCCCGCGUUCCCCUAAUGGGCGCCCUUGGCCUUGAUGAUAGGUAGCGCCGUGUUCUCGGGCGCGUCCCGUGGGUAAAAUUCAGGUAUGCGUCGAUUGUCUGAGCUCUUGCUCGCCAUUGGUGGUGCUUGAGCGUGCGGUCUUGGUGUCGCCCAGCAAGGGAACACGGGAUGUGGGAUCAAGACAACACACAUAGCAACCCGUCACCAGGCAACGGACGCCCGUCCGGACUUUCAGGGAGCAGAGGUGGACACAAAGGUGGAUGUUGAGCUCCAUAGCCGUCUCGACAGUGUGCUCAUCAGUAAGAGCAACACGAGCAAGAAGAUCCUGGAUAUACCCCUCUUAGGAAAUAAAGAAGCCAUUAGAGGUAGAAGAAACCUCAAUCUCAAGGAAGUCACGACUUCUUUAGUAAACAUGGAGCAAUUUGGAUUUAGUUAGGCGAUUGUGAUCCUUAACAAAUUUCGUGGUGGAUUACAAGAUUUUUCAAUGGAUUUAAUUGAUUGUGAUCUUGAAGAGAUGGUCAAAGAUGUCCAGUGUAUAUCUUGAACAAUAUGGAUUUAGUUAUAUGAUUGUGAUAUUGAACUAGAUUUCUUAGUGAUUUAUGAGAUUUUAGUUGGAUUGAGUUAGGUUAUUAUGUCUUGAGACGAUAAUCAAUGAUGUUUUGUGGAUCAUGAGAUUUUAGGUCUAGUAGAUGAGCAUGGUGAUUAUUAUAUUGGUGGAUAAACAGAUAUUUAAUUUAGUUUGAAACAAUUUGUAUUUGGUUCGGUGAUUAUGAUCUUUUAACCUAAUUUUACGAUGGAUUAUAAGGUUUUGGUUGGUUUAGUUAGGUGAUUGUGAUCUUGACAAGCCAGUAAAAGAUGUUCGGUGGAUUAUGUGAAUUUAGGUCUAGUAGGUGAGCAUGUUGAUUAUUAUAUUGGUGGAUAAAGAUGCGGGCCAGACAAGUGACUCAAGGCGAUGAUGCAACUACUGAAAAUAACUAGUAAAGAAGGCAACAGAGGAGAGAAUGGGGGUAGUGGCAGCAGAUGGAGUUUGAUCCAGCAUCCCACGUGCCUGUGCACUCUUCGUUCCCCGCUGUCCGGCUUGGUGUUCUUGUCCUGUUUGCGGAUUUUGUGUCACGCACUUGAUUAAGCAUCCCACGUUCCCCUAAUGUGCGCCCUUGGCCUUGACGAUAGGUAGCGCCGUGUUCUCGGGCGCGUCCCGUGGGUAAAAUUCAGGUAUGCGUCGAUUGUCUGAGCUCUUGCUCGCCAUUGGUGGUGCUUGAGUGUGAGGUCUUGGUUUCGCCCAGCAAGGGAACACAGGAUGUGGGAUCAAGACAGCACACAUAGCAACCCGUCACUAGGCAACGGACGCCUGUCCGGACUUUCAGGGAGCAGAGGUGGACACAAAGGUGGAUGUUGAGCUCCAUAGUCGUCUCGACAGUGUGCUCAUCAGUAAGAGCAACACGAGCAAGAAGAUCCUGGAUAUACUCCUCUUAGGAAAUAAAGAAGCCAUUAGAGGUAGAAGAAACCUCAAUCUCAAGGAAGUCACGACUAUUUAAUAAACAUGGACCAAUUUGGAUUUAGUUAGGCGAUUGUGAUCUUGAACAAAUUUCAUGGUGGAUUACAAGAUUUUUCAAUGGAUUUAAUUGAUUGUGAUCUUGAGGAGAUAGUCAAAGAUGUCUAGUGUAUAUCUUGAACAAUAUGGAUUUAGUUAGAUGAUUGUGAUAUUGAACCAAAUUUCUUUGUAAUUUAUGAGAUUUUAGUUGGAUUGAGUUAGGUGAUUGUGUCUUGAGACGAUAAUCAAAUAUGUUUUGUGGAUCAUGAGAUUUUAGGUCUAGUAGAUGAGCAUGGUGAUUAUUAUAUUGGUGGAUAAACAGAUAUUUAAUUUAGUUUGAAACAAUUUGGAUUUGGUUCGGUGAUUAUGAUCUUUUAACCUAAUUUUAUGAUGGAUUAUAAGGUUUUGGUUGGUUUAGUUAGGUGAUUGUGAUUUUGACAAGCCAGUAAAAGAUGUUCGGUGGAUUAUGUGAAUUUAGGUCUAGUAGGUGAGCAUGUUGAUUAUUAUAUUGGUGGAUAAAGAUGGGGGCCACACAAGUGACUCAAGGCGAUGAUGCAACUAUUGAAAAUAACUAGUAAACAAGGCAACAGAGGAGAGAAUGGGGGUAGUGGCAGCAGAUGGACUUUGAUCCAGCAUCCCACGUGCCUGUGCACUCUUCGUUCCCCGCUGUUCGGCUUGGUGUUCUUGUCCUGUUUGCAGAUUUUGUGUCACACACUUGAUUAAGCAUCCCACGUUCCCCUAAUGUGCGCCCUUGGCCUUGAUGAUAGGUAGCGUCGUGUUCUCGGGCGCGUCCCGUGGGUAAAAUUCAGGUAUGCGUCGAUUGUCCGAGCUCUUGCUCGCCAUUGGUGGUGCUUGAGCGUGCGGUCUUGGUGUCACCCAGCAAGGGAACACGGGAUGUGGGAUCAAGACAACACACAUAGCAACCCGUCACCAGGCAACGGACGCCCGUCCGGACUUUCAGGGAGCAGAGGUGGACACAAAGGUGGAUGUUGAGCUCCAUAGCCGUCCCGACAGUGUGCUUAUCAGUAAGAGCAACACGAGCAAGAAGAUGCUGGAUAUACUCUUAGGAAAUGAAGAAGCCAUUAGAGGUAGAAACCUCAAUCUCAAGGAAGUCGCGACUUCUUUAGUAAACAUGGAGCAAUUUGGAUUUAGUUAGGCGAUUGUGAUCUUGAACAAAUUUCAUGGUGGAUUACAAGAUUUUUCAAUGGAUUUAGUUGAUCGUGAUCUUGAGGAGAUAGUCAAGGAUGUUCGGUGUAUUAAUUAAUCUUGAACAAUAUGGAUUUAGUUAGAUGAUUGUGAUAUUGAACCACAUUUCUCUGUGAUUUAUGAGAUUUUAGUUGGAUUUAGUUAGGUGAUUGUGUCUUGAGAUGAUAAUCAAAGAUGUUUUGUGGAUCAUGAUAUUUUAGGUCUACUAGAUGAGCAUGGUGAUUAUUAUAUUGGUGGAUAAAUAGAAGUUAUAUUAAUUUGGAACAAUUUGAAUUUGAUAGGUGAUUGUGAUCUUUUAACCUUAUUUUACGAUGGAUUAUAAGGUUCUGGUUGCAUUUAGUUAGGUGAUUGUGAUUUUGAGGAGGUAGUAAAAGAUGUUUGGUGAAUUAUCCGAAUUUAGGUCUAGUAGGCGAGCAUGUUGAUUAUAUUGGUGGAUAAAUGGAUCUUCAGUAAAUUUUAAACAAUUUGGAUUUAGUUCAGCGAUUGUGACCUUAAACCAAAAUUUAUGGUGGAUUAUGAGAUUUUUUUAUGGAUUAGUUAGUUGAUUAUGAUCUUGAGAAGAUAUUCAAAGAUGUUUGGAUUAAUUAAUCUUGAACAAUUUGGAUUUAGUUAGGUGAUUGUGAUACUGAACCGAAUUUUACGCUGGAUUAUGAGAUUUUAGGUGGAUUUAGUUAGGUGAUUGUGUCUUGAGAAUAUAGUCAAAGAUGUUUGUUGGACUAUGAGAUUUUAGGUUUAGUAGAUGAGAAUGGUGAUUAUUAUAUUGGUGGAUAAACCGUUCUUUAAUUUAGUUUGAAACAAUUUUGAUUUAGUUAGGUGAUUGUUAUUUUUGAGCAAAUUCACGGUGGAUUUUGAGGUUUUGUUGGAUUUAGUUAGGUGAUUGUGAUCUUGACGAAUUAGUCAAAGAUGUUUGGUGAAUUAUGUUAAUUUAGGUCUAGUAAGUGAGCAUGGUGGUUAUUAUAUUGGUGGAUAAAUGGGCCUUUAGUAAACAUGGAGCAAUUUGGGUGUGGUUAGGCUAUUGUGAUCUUGAACAAAUUUCAAAGUGGAUUGCGAGAUUUUCAAUAGAUUUAGUUAGUAGAUUGUGAUCUUGGGAGAUGUCAAAGAUGUUUGGUGGAUUAAUUAAUCUUAAACAAUUUGGAUUUAGUUAGAUGACUGCGAUAUUGAACCAAAUUGCUCUGUGAUUUAUGAGGUGAUUGUGUCUUGAGAUGAUAAUCAAAGAUGUUUGGUGGAUUAUGAGAUUUUAGGUCUAAUAGUGAGCAUGGUGAUUAUUAUAUUGGUGGAUAAAUGAAUCUUUAAUAAAUUUGGAACAAUUUGGAUUUAGUUAGCCGACUGUGAUCUUUAACCAAAUUUUAUGGUGGAUUAUGAGAUUUAGUUUGGCCACGCUCUGCCUUUUCCUCAAGGAGCAUGUGCAGUGCGGUGGUGCGGCUGCUCGUGCGGCGGGCGGUAGCCUCAGAAGAUGGGCGCCGACACCUGCAGCUUGUGCACAAUGGUCCGUAACCCUCUCCUUCCUGGCACAGGAGGAGCAGGAGCAAGGAUGCCGAGGCGGUUCAGGUGAAUGGUGCUUUAGCUUCAAUGACCAAUUUUAUUGCUAAAUAUUUUUCCCACUGGAAGUGUCGAAGAACAUACAACUUGUCGUGAGGAAGAGUAGGAAGAUCAGGCAGAGAGGGUUUCACAUACCUCUUCUACACUCACAAGUCUUUGCUUUCCAGGAUUGCCAUGGGAGCUUUGGAUGGUGGUCUUGGUAUUUCGCACAGUGACAAGAGAUUUGUUCGCUUCAAGAAGGAUAAGAAGCAGCUGGGCGCUGAGAUUCACCGCAAAUACAUCUAUGAAGGUCAUGUUGCUGACUACAUGAAGUCAAUAGCUGAUGAGGAACCUAAGAAGUACCAAUCUCACUUCAGUGAGUACAUCAAGAAGAAUAUUGCGGCCGAUGACAUGGAAGCACUGUACAAGAAGUGCAUGAUGAACUACACGGUAAAGUUCAGCUGAAGUUCCUCUGUUUUCUUCUACCAGGAGUUCUGACAAUUUGUACACUUGGCUGCAAAUUUAUGCCGUUUGCAUCACCAUACGGAUAGUGGUUUGUUCUUCUGUCGUUAUUCAUGGUUCUCAUCAUAGCCAUACUGAAUGAUGCAGGUGGCAUCUCUGAAUUUAUCAUAUGAAUUAUGACUUUAUGAGCUUGCUUGGCUACUGACCUGCUGUGUGGGAAGGGCAUCCUUUUACCAGAGCUAUGGAUUUUAAUAUGCUCCGUUUCCUUCAGGUCUUUUAUCACUCCAUCCUUGAUUUAUCUAAGUCCAUUGGGGUUGCUCAUGAAUUAAAGAAUUUAGGCUUACAGUAGGAUGAACUUCCUUGAGAAUCAAUAAUAGAAAAGUUUUGGUUAAGAGCAAUUUCCAACGGGUCGUCAAAUUUGUUUUUCUGAUGUUUGGGUCUUGGCAUGUAUGCUUUGCUUGCCUAUAUGCUCUGUUUGAAACCUUUUAUUCUGCUUUUGUCUUGGUCUGAAUCAUGGAUAAAUUGCCUCCCUUUUUACUUGCUUGGGCUUGGGAUUGGGCUUGGAAGAGCUUUAUCCUGUACUUAGUUACUUGGGUUGUAUGACACCUAUGGUUACCUCAUUGUGCUUCCAGUUCAUUUGCCUUUGUUGGUGGCUGGGGGCAAAUAUUUAGUUUGAAUUAUAGUUGAUUGUCUUUGGAUGUUGCUAAUUUUGUAUGAGCUGCAGGUGACAUGUUCUUUCUAUUUUUUAUAGAAAAUAUUUUCUUUCUACUACCUCCAAUCCAAAAUAAGUGUCGCAGUUUUGAGCCCGGGUUCGUUCAAAACUGCCACACUUAUUUUGGAUCGGAGGGAGUAAUAUUUAGUUUUCUUCCAGUAUUAAUGAUGUUUUCACUCUUUUGUCAGAUUAACAAUUUGCAUUGACCUUUUAUUGCACCUUUGAUUGUAAUCAGCAUCAAAUGGUUGUCUCGCUAUGCUUUGCAUUAUUAUAGAUCGUAUAUGCUGCUGCUACUUAAUUAUACUUCUAUGUGAUCAUGCAAUUGUAUUCAUUUUAAUGUUCACCGGUGAUGGAAAAGCGCCGACUGAUAUGAAGCUAAGAGGAAGAAAAGUAAGAGAAAAUUUACUUCACUGGUUGAUAGGAAUCCAUCUCACGUUUUCUCGUGUUGUGCCUUUCUCAAAGUAAAAAAGCAAAAGUCGGAGAGAGAAAUUACUGUACUAGUUAAGACAACUAAUUUGCAUACAAUGGCAGCAAUGCACAAUCAGUGUCAGUGUUAGCGUGUACUUAUUUCAAAGAUGAUUGGAGUAACCGUUGGCCGGUUCAGCAGCCACCAUUUAAUCGAAUCACAAUUCAUAGACUAGUAGGCAAAGGUAUUGGAGGGCUACUUUCAGAUCAAUUCAUGACUAUACGUAUGGUAUGAGCUAUUCCUAUCGCCGCGAACUUGUUGAACACGGCAAUACUGGUGAACAAAAGCACAAGUGUGCGUGCAGUGCGAGCUAAGAAAGCUGGUUCAUCAUUCAGCAUUAUGCAUGGUAUUCAGUCAUGAUUGUCAAGUGUCAAGUUCAGUUUUAAAAGCUGAACCCUCAAGUGUUAAGUUUAGGUAACAGGGGCUGUGGAGUAACUGUAGCUGGAUCAAAUCCUCAAUGUCAAGUUCAGAAUAUGAUACUCAAUUAUCAUGACAAAAUUUACUUCUUUGGAAUGUGUGGGUGCGCUGGUUUUCGACUACUUGAUCUAAUCAUCUUGAAUUGACAGAGGUUUUCUGACUAUACCCGCAAGUCGCAACCAUGGCCUUACAUUGCUACACACCUCUGCUGAAGCCCCAACUGGCCCAAGUCUCGGUCAACCCUUCCAUUAACACGAUACAGAUUCCAGGUUUGCUUUGCCCUGCACGAAUAUGCUCGUUCCAUGACAUCUCUCUGGAAUAUACACUGCAUAACAUGUGUUGAUGUGUGGAUGCACUGGCUAGCGAUUAGUUAUUCUAAUACUCUGCUGAUAAUUAUCUUCUCUGAAUAUACACGAAAUAAUGGCCUUAUAGAGUCAGUGCUCCGUCCCUCUGCUAAAGCCCUAACUGGCCCAUGUCUCGGCCAGCCCUUCUCUAAAUCGAUGCAGAUUGCAGGUUUGCCUCGCAUCAAUAUGCUCCUUGCAUAAGCUAGUAAUCUCUGGCCAUGCUUCAUUUUUUAUCCUACUUGCAUCAUGCCUGAUGACUUUUUUUGUGCCACCAAUUUUAGUGUAUGUUCGAGGAGUAGCAGAUUUUACGGAUCUUUUUUUGUGUCGUUGCUUCAUCAAAUGGAAAUUUAAGUAACGGGAGAUUCGUCAAAUGGAAAUUUAAACCAGUUUAUGACUUGGUGAGGAAUAUAUAUAUUAGUGUGUGUUGUUACGUUGAGCUCUAAAUAACGGGGAGCACACAAAAUUACAUUCAAUCCAAAUAGGACUGGUGUUUGCAUCUGUAUUCUGUAGUUCUGUAUGUUGUAUUCAAAUAAACUGUUUCUUUUUGGGUGUUAAUUUUUCGUCUUAAUAAUGGUGAUUGUUAUUCACUUGGAACCAUCAUGUAAACCUAGCUGGACAUGGUUAAACUAUAAUUUUCCAUGUUUCAAAAUACUAUACGGUUUAGUACUUUGUUCCGAGAGUCUUACUUCCCAAAAUGGAUUUUUUUUUCCAGUAAGUAUUCUCCUAAAUCUUUUUGGUGUCUUGAUGUGAUCUGAUCAUCAGAAUGCAUGAACUGUAUUGAAUUCUUGUAAGGAAGCAUUUGAAUGUUGCUUGUCCUGAUCUAAUUAUCUGCAAUCCACAGGUUAUGGAACUGCACUUGCAAUGGUAGCAGGAACGACCUUGCUUGGGCGACCUUCUCUGUUAUGAUAUUGUUGUCUAAGUUAAAAAACCUGAAUCUGCUCCAUGGUUUUGUUAUGUUGGAUGUGCCCCAAGAAGCUUCUUUCUUUUGAUUUUUGUUGUCAAUAUAUUCUGUGCAUGCUCCUCGUACUCAUUAUGAAGUUUGGCAAAUAUCAAUUCUCUGGAUGUUCUUCAUAACUAUGGCGAAUCACAUGAAGUUCAAAUGUUAGCAUAGCUAAUAAGUUGUAUUUUCGGCGAUGACACAAUGCACAGGUCAAGUGUUAGUUUUCUGAAACUAUUGUACUGUGAACUGAUGCAAACUUCCUCACUUUUAUUUGUAGUUUGGCCAACAUUGGUACCUGGUGUCGAUGUGGAGGAAAAGACCUUAGCAGGACUACUGACUGUCGCCUUGCAACUCAUUUUCUUCAGAAGUGUCUCGGCCUCAGACAUGAAAACUUGAGAAUUCAGAUUUUUUGUAGCGCAGAACCCAUUAGCUCCUAUCUUUGUGCUAGCUAAACUUGAGCUUAAGUUGUAGUGGUGUAGUCAAAAUUAUUUGUGUACUGAAUUUUUAUUCUUUUAUGUGCCCGUAGUGAGUUUUGUAGUUUUAUUUGAUAAUUAUUUGUGCAAAUUUUAGCUGUGAUCUGAUGUGUUAUACCAAAGGUUUGUAUGUUGUGUGUGAGGGAUUUCCUUCCCUGCCGUUGUUGCC